AACGGUAAACGAACCAAUGGUGUUUCAGAACUACAACUUCCGGUUUCAAUGUAUGUACAUUUUGUUGAAAAUUAGCUAGACUGUUGCUCGUUAGUUUAACGCUCGUCACAACUGUGGUAUUCCUGCAGACAAACUUAUUUAUCUAUCUUAUGUGUGGAAUCAAGUUCAGGAGUUAUAGUGUGCCAAGGCGCGGGAUUUUCGGUGAGGUGGAUCUGUGGAGAUUCUGAGGCUCAACACCGGACCAUUCACUCACACUCAUUCACAGCAUCAGCUGCUAGUAAAAGUUCAAGUUCUCAGAAAGCUUUCAUUAAGGCGCUUUAAAUUCGUAUGAUCGAUUGGCCUGAUUCUCUCUUGAUCUACUCGUCAUGAAUGGGUUCAGCACGGAAGAGGACAGCCAUGACGGCCCGCCUGCCCCUCCGUUCUUUGGCCAGAGCUGCUGUCUGAUCGAGGACGGGGAGCGCUGCGGACGGUCGGCUGGAAACGCCUCCUUCAGCAAGCGCAUUCAGAAGAGCAUCUCACAGAAGAAACUCAAGCUGGACAUCGACAAAAGCGUCCGGCAUUUGUACAUUUGUGACUUCCACAAGAACUUCAUCCAGAGUGUGCGCAACAAACGCAAGAGGAAGACCAGUGAUGAUGGUGGUGAGUCACCUGACCAUGAUGUCGAAGUCCCAGAGCACAAGUAUUGGUUUACGUCAGAUUUGUUGAUGAAGGACAAAUUAAGGAGGAUUUUCUGUUCUGUCACCCUCUUCCUGAACAUGCAACAGGAACUAACAAAACAACAGCAAACAAUUGUGUGAGGGAUUCACAUCGAUCUCAAACCCUCGCCGCUCAAGAACGACUAUAAUAACAACAACAAACAAUUGUGGUUACCAGAGCCGGCCAGAUCCAGCUCCGUUCCUGCUUGUUAUCGGACUCCACUGCUACGUGUCUCUGAGUGAUGACAAAAUGCAGCUGAUGCCAGCAGGACAUCACUUCAGUUUUUUACGAUGGAUCUCAGAGGAUGAACUGAUGCCAACUCCAACAGUAAGACAUCGGGUAAUUCAUAUGCCACUGCCUGAACCUUGGACUUAGGAUAAACCUCUCCGAACCUCACCGAAAUGACCUGCUGGUUGAACUGCACCUCACUGAUCUCUGCCUGCAUCACCUUGGUCUAAUGAUGGACUACACUCUUAAAAUGGAAUACAUCGACUUUAAAUGAUUUGCCAGCAAAAGCCUUCAUCAGCCAAUUAACAAAGGACAAUGCAUCAAUGUUAACUUCUGCAGUUAAUCCAGGCUGAACUUCAAAGACAUUUGUCAUUAAUAUUACAGUUCAUACAAAAUCUUUGUUUAAACACUGACCCUUAACCCUUACUUAGUUUACUAAUUUUAAACCAUGACCUGCACUGCACAUAAAUAAAUAAUAUUGUCAUUAUAUUCAUGCUGGUUGGCCAGAGGGGAACUGGCCCCCACAGUGAGCCUGGUUUCUCCCAAGGUUAUUUUUCUCCAUUAUCCAACAUCUUAUGGAGUUUUGUGUUCCUUGCCACAGUCGCCUUUGGCUUGCUCACUGGGGUUCUAAAUACAAUUAUGAUUUAAUUGUUUAUUUUUAUACACAAUUUACAGUCAUAUUUAAUCAAACUACACAAUGAUGACUCUAUGACUUUAUAGAUACUACAGUUUUCAUUUUCUGUUAAUGCAUGAUUUUCUUUAAAGCUGCUUUGAGGGGGGCCUUGCUAGCUCAGUGGUAAAAGACGCUGGUUACCACCCCUGGAGUUCACUAGAUCGAAUCCCAGGGCGUGCUGAGUGACUCCAGCCAGGUCUCCUAAGCAACCAAAUUGGCCCGGUUGCUAGGGAGCGUAGAGUCACAUGGGGUAACCUCCUUGUGGUCGCUAUAAUGUGGUUCGGUCUCGGUGGGACGCGUGGUGAGUUGAACAAGCCACGAGAUAAGAUGCACGGGUUGACGGUCUCAGACGCGGAGGCAACUGGGAUUCAUCCUCCGCCACCCGGAUUGAGGCAAAUCACUACGCGACCAUGAGGACUUAAAAGCACAUUGGGAAUUAGGCAUUCCAAAUUGGGAGAAAAAGGGGGAAAAAUCCCCCCCCCCAAAAAAGAAAAGAAAAACUGCUUUGAAAAAAUAUGUGUUGUGAAAAGCGCUUUACAAAUAAAAAUGACAUAAAAAAACUUGUUUAUAUUCUGCAAAAAUGUGUAAUGCAUGUAUAAUUUUUAGUGAUAUGCUUCUCUUUAGAGAAGCUUUUCAUUUUUCUAGCUAACUAAUGAGCCAAGGACAUUAUUGUCUAAAUGUUCCUGAGGUAACGUUAGGUGACAAGUUCUUCACAAGCUGUUUUACUGACAUCUUCCUGUGAUUGAAACAGCUUAGGCGCAUACACAAGAAAUGAUACGUGAAUGUAAUUUGUACUGUAUCUUUCAGCAUGCCCUCAGAUGUACAUUAUUCAUGUUUUGUUUUGUGUUAUAACUUCUAUUAAAG